UUCAGGGAAYUUACGGUAACCGCCCCGCCCACGAACCCGGAAGUCCAUUGUGUAGUAUUCUCGUAGCUAGCACACAGACCGUGUAGCGCUAAUUUCCAACACUAUUCUCGGCGGCAUCAAAUGAAAACAUGUCCACGAACAUGCCGGGCGGCAACAUGAACAUGGAGUCGCAGCUYUUAUCCAUAAUGAACGUGCUGGUGAAGGCGGCGGUGGCGGAAAUCAUCCAGUUGUUCUCGGAGAGCUCGGAGACCCUGCGCCUGCAUUUAACCCAGAGUCUGAAGGAAAACGAAAACCUGAGGGUGAGGAUGAAGGUGAUGAGGAGUGAGUUGUUCUCCCUAAAGCUACAAACCAGAACGAACCGACCGGCCAGCCGCUUCUCUUCAUUUAAGGCGAAUAUCCCCAAACCACGAGCUAAAUCACAGGUUCUUAUGAAGCCAUCAGGGGCUGAAAAAACAGCUGGAGAACCUGCUUCUAUUACUGUUCAGUCAGA